rnacentral:rRNA from 1 species
UACGUAGGGUGCAAGCGUUGUCCGGAAUUACUGGGCGUAAAGAGCUCGUAGGCGGUUUGUCGCGUCGUCUGUGAAAACUCGAGGCUCAACCUCGAGCUUGCAGGCGAUACGGGCAGACUUGAGUACUGCAGGGGAGACUGGAAUUCCUGGUGUAGCGGUGAAAUGCGCAGAUAUCAGGAGGAACACCGGUGGCGAAGGCGGGUCUCUGGGCAGUAACUGACGCUGAGACGCGAAAGCGUGGGGAGCAAACAGG